CCCCAAAAGGAGACUUUGACUGGGAGAGCGAGGACAGAAGUGCUGGCUGGAGGGAAGAGGCUGCCCUGGGCACCCCUGCUAGGAGAGAAGCCCACCCUCUCCCAGAUCCUGCAGUCUGUGUGGAUGCCCAGGAGAGCUGACUGGCUGCUGCGGCACUGGCCUGGGACCCUAUGACCUGGAGGAACAGAGGCCUGAAUCCUAUGGGGAGUAAUGAACAGGAAAGCGGGUGCAGUAUGAAGGAGAGGAGGGCAGUGACAGCACAGGAGGAUCGUCAGGAGCAGAAGGAAAGGUGUUUGGGACCUUGCGGGGUAGGGAGCCGGGGGUGGGGGUGGAGGGAGGAAGGCCUUGUGGCGCUGAGCUGAUCUCUCCCCCUGUGGAAGAACUGUUGCCAUGACAACACAGAGAGCCAGAUCGAUGCUUGGCAUUGCUGGAUGGAGCGCUCAGUCACUGCCAGCUCCCCUCCUCUCUCUCCUGAAGUGGGGCACGCAGCGAGGGGGAGAAAGAGUCCCAACGGAGAUCAUCGCAAGGCUUGGGUCCAGAUUCCUUCAAGGCAUCCUCUUCACGUGUGGAGAACUGCAGCAGAAAAACAGGUGUUCUCUGAACUUCCUUCCAGCUGCGAAAGCAACGCCCUUCCCCCAGCAGCCUUAGGGUGGGGUCCCUUUUGGUAUAAUGGCUGGGGUUCGACCCCAUGGAAUCCCUCCUGCCUCAAACGUCUCCCCACUGGCCAUUCAAAACCAUCCAAACGUCCCCAUAAGGGCUCCUUCUUCGAGCUUCUUGUAAAAAUACAAAUGUCCAAGGCAGGACAAUGUGUUGACAUCUUAUCCAGGUGACAGGCCAGAGGCUGCACAGUUAACAGGCCUGGGGUGGAAUGUGACUCCUCU
rnacentral:lncRNA from 1 species